rnacentral:piRNA from 1 species
UAAAAUGUUGGCCUAGUUACUCAUAGUAA